UACGUAAGGGGCAAGCGUUAUCCGGAUUUACUGGGUGUAAAGGGAGCGUAGACGGUUGUGUAAGUCAGAUGUGAAAGGCCAGGGCUCAACCCUGGGACUGCAUUUGAAACUAUGCAACUAGAGUGUCGGAGAGGUAAGUGGAAUUCCUAGUGUAGCGGUGAAAUGCGUAGAUAUUAGGAGGAACACCAGUGGCGAAGGCGACUUACUGGACGAUGACUGACGUUGAGGCUCGAAAGCGUGGGGAGCAAACAGG
rnacentral:rRNA from 1 species